GUCCACUUAACUUGGAGUCCGAACUCUCACUUUCUAACCCUGUGCACUUGUUUGGGAUAGUAACUCUCGCAAGAGAGCGAACUCCUAUUCACUUAUAAACACAAAGUCUAUGAAUGUAUUAAAUUUUAUAACAAAAUAAAACUUUCAACAACGGAUCUCUUGGCUCUCGCAUCGAUGAAGAACGCAGCGAAAUGCGAUAAGUAAUGUGAAUUGCAGAAUUCAGUGAAUCAUCGAAUCUUUGAACGCACCUUGCGCUCCAUGGUAUUCCGUGGAGCAUGCCUGUUUGAGUGUCAUGAAUACUUCAACCCUCCUCUUUCUUAAUGAUUGAAGAGGUGUUUGGUUUCUGAGCGCUGCUGGCCUUUACGGUCUAGCUCGUUCGUAAUGCAUUAGCAUCCGCAAUCGAACUUCGGAUUGACUUGGCGUAAUAGACUAUUCGCUGAGGAAUUCUAGUCUUCGGAUUAGAGCCGGGUUGGGUUAAAGGAAGCUUCUAAUCAGAAUGUCUACAUUUUAAGAUUAGAUCUCAAAUCAGGUA
rnacentral:rRNA from 1 species